UGACAUUUAUCGAGUUUAUUAACUCCAAAUGAAGUGAACUGGGCAUAAUUCUCUAGAUGCGGUACAUAGUGCUAUAUGUUUCCUUGCCUCACCAACAAAAUGUACUAAUAUGUCUCUUGUGACACGAUAGGUCGAUUCUUCGCCUUCGAGAAACCUGUAGUACUUGUAUACCUUCAUGUUUGAGCACUCGAGCAGUACUUCAAAAUGGAGUAGCUUAAUUCACUGAAUUUGGUUGUAGUACUAGUUGAUUCACUGAGAAGAUUCAGUAAUGAGUUGAUUCACUAAGAAGACUCAGUUUUUUGUGCUGGCUUCUUUCCAUUGUGGAGCUCACUGUGUGACAAGUCUGUUCAUUCCUCUAGAUGUCCUGUCACUUGGCAUAAGUAAUUAAGUAGGAAUAGUUUCAGGUGAAUCGUAGCUUUGUUAUUGCUUCAUUUCAUCUGAUACAUGCAUGAAAUUGAACUACACUUGAUGCAGCGCCAUUAUGGUCCCUGAAAUUAGCUUAUGUUAUUGAAUUUUUUAUUUCCUCGCCUGAGAACAACCUGUUGGGUUUCGUAGUAAUUUCAAAAAAAUUCCUACGCACACGCAAGAUCAUGUGAUGCAUAGCAACGAGAGGGAAGAUUAUUGUCUACGUACCCACGCAGACCGACUGCGGAAGCGUUGACACAACGUAGAGGAAGUAGUCGUACGUCUUCACGAUCCAACCGAUCAAGCACCGAAACUACGGCACCUCCGAGUUCGAGCACACGUUCAGCUCGAUGACGAUCCCCGGACUCCGAUCCAGCAAAGUGUCGGGGAAGAGUUCCGUCAGCACGACGACGUGGUGGCGAUCUUGAUGUACUACAGUAGCAGGGCUUCGCCUAAACUCCGCUACAGUAUUAUCGAGGAUUAUGGUGGCUGGGGGCACCGCACACGGCUAAGGAAUAGAUCACGUGAAUCAACUUGUGUGUUUCUGGGGUGCCUCUGCCUCAGUAUAUAAAGGAUUAGAGGGGGGAGGCUGGCCGGCCACAGGAGGCGCGCCAGGAGAGUCCUACUCCCUCUGGGAGUAGGAUUCCCCCCCAAUCCUAGUUGGAAUAGGACUCCUUGAGGGGGGAAAGAGAGAGAGGGGGCCGGCCACCUCUCCUAGUCCUAAUAGGACUAGGGGGAGGGGGAGGCGCAUAGCCACCUUGGGCUGCCCCUUUCUCCUUUCCACUAAAGCCCACUAAGGCCCAUAUAGCUCUCGGGGGGUUCCGGUAACCUCCCGGUACUCCGGUAAAAUCCCGAUUUCACCCGGAACACUUCCGAUGUCCAAACAUAGGCUUCCAAUGUAUCAAUCUUUACAUCUCGACCAUUUCGAGACUCCUCAUCAUGUCCGUGAUCACAUCCGGGACUCCGAACAACCUUCGGUACAUCAAAAUGCAUAAACUCAUAAUAUAACUGUCAUCGUAACCUUAAGCGUGUGGACCCUACGGGUUCGAGAACAAUGUAGACAUGACCGAGACACGUCUCCGGUUAAUAACCAAUAGCAGGAUCUGGAUGCCCAUAUUGGCUCCUACAUAUUCUACGAAGAUCUUUAUCGGUCAGACCGCAUAACAACAUACGUUGUUCCCUUUGUCAUCGGUAUGUUACUUGCCCGAGAUUCGAUCGUCGGUAUUCCAAUACCUAGUUCAAUCUCGUUGCCAGCAAGUCUCUUUACUCGUUCUGUAAUACAUCAUCCCGCAACUAACUCAUUAGUUGCAAUGCUUGCAAGGCUUAUGUGAUGUGCAUUACCGAGAGGUCCCAGAGAUACCUCUCCGACAAUCGGAGUGACAAAACCUAAUCUUGAAAUACGCCAACCCAACAUGUACCUUUGGAGACACCUGUAGUACUCCUUUAUAAUCACCCAGUUACGUUGUGACGUUUGGUAGUACCCAAAGUGUUCCUCCGAUAAACGGGAGUUGCAUAAUCUCAUAGUUAUAGGAACAUGUAUAAGUCAUGAAGAAAGCAAUAGCAACAUAUUAAAUGAUCGGGUGCUAAGCUAAUGGAGUGGGUCAUGUCAAUCAGAUCAUUCUCGUAAUGAUGUGAUCCCGUUAAUCAAAUAACAACUCAUUGUUCAUGGUUAGGAAACAUAACCAUCUUUGAUUAAUGAGCUAGUCAAGUAGAGGCAUACUAGUGACACUUUGUUUGUCUAUGUAUUCACACAUGUAUUAUGUUUCUGGUUAAUACAAUUCUAGCAUGAAUAAUAAACAUUUAUCAUGAUAUAAGGAAAUAAAUAAUAACUUUAUUAUUGCCUCUAGGGCAUAUUUCCUUCAGUCUCCCAGUUGCACUAGAGUCAAUAAUCUAGUUCACGUCGCCAUGUGAUUUAACUGCAAUAGUUCACAUCACCAUGUGAUUAACACCCAUAGUUCACAUCGAUAUGUGAUCAACACCCAAAGGGUUUACAAGAGUCAGUAAUCUAGUUCACAUCGCUAUGUGAUUAACACCCAAAGAGUACUAAGGUGUGAUCAUGUUUUGCUUGUGAGAUAAUUUUAGUCAACAGGUCUGUCACAUUCAGAUCCGUAAGUAUUUUGCGAAUUUCUAUGUCAACAAUGCUCUGCACGGAGCUACUCUAGCUUAUUGCUCCCACUUUCAAUAUGUAUCUAGAUCGAGACUUAGAGUCAUCCAGAUCUGUGUCAAAAGUUGCAUCGACGUAACUUUUUACGACGAACCUUUUUGUCACCUCCAUAAUUGAGAAAUAUUUCCUUAUUCCACUAAGGAUAAUUUUGACCGCUGUCCAGUGAUCUACUCUUAGAUCACUAUUGUAUUCCCUUGCUUAACAAAGUGUAGGGUAUACAAUAGAUCUGGUACACAUCAUGGCAUACUUUAUAGAACCUAUGACUGAGGCAUAGGGAAUGACUUUCAUUCUCUUUCUAUCUUCUGCCGUGGUCGGGCUUUGAGUCUUACUCAACUUCACACCUUGUAACACAGGCAAGAAACUUUUUCUUUGACUGUUCCAUUUUGAACUACUUCAAAAUCUUAUCAAGGUAUGUACUCAUUGAAAAAACUUAUCAAGCGUCUUGAUCUAUCUCUAUAGAUCUUGAUACUCAAUAUGUAAGUAGCUUUACCGAGGUCUUUCUUUGAAAAACUCCUUUCAAACACUCCUUUAUGCUUUGCAGAAUAAUUCUACAUUAUUUCCGAUCAACAAUAUGUCAUACACAUAUACUUAUCAGAAAUGAUGUAAUGCUCCCACUCACUUUCUUGUAAAUACAGGCUUCACCGCAAGUCUGUAUAAAACUAUAUGCUUUGAUCAACUUAUCAAAGCGUAUAUUCCAACUCCGAGAUUCUUGCACCAGUCCAUAGAUGGAUCACUGGAGCUUGCUUAUUUACUUAACACCUUUAGGAUCGACAAAACCUUCCAGUUGCAUCGUAUACAACUCUUCUUUAGUAAAUCCAUUAAGGAAUGCAGUUUUGUUAUCCAUUUGCCAGAUUUCAUAAAAUGUGGCAAUUGCUAACAUGAUUCGGACAGACUUAAGCAUAGAUACGAGUGAGAAAAUCUCAUCGUAGUCAACACCUUGAACUUGUCGAAAACCUUUUGCGACAAUUCUAGCUUUGUAGAUAGUAACACUACUAUCAGCGUCCGUCUUCCUCUUGAAGAUCCAUUUAUUUUCUAUGACUUGCCGAUCAUCGGGCAAGUCAACCAAAGUCCAUACUUUGUUCUCAUACAUGGAUCAUAUCUCAGAUUUCGUGGCCUCAAACCAUUUCGCGGAAUCUGGGCUCAUCAUCGCUUCCUCAUAGUUCGCAAGUUCGUCAUGGUCUAGUAACAUGACUUCCAGAACAGGAUUACCGUACCACUCUGGUGCGGAUCUCACUCUGGUUUACCUACGAGAUUUGGUAGUAACUUAAACUGAAGUUAAAUGAUCAUCAUCAUUAGCUUCCUCACUAAUUGGUGUAGUAGUCACAGGAACAGAUUUCUGUGAUGAACUACUUUCCAAUAAGGGAGAAGGUAUAGUUACCUCAUCAAGUUAUACUUUCCUCCCACUCACUUCUUUCGAGAGAAACUCCUUCUCUAGAAAAACUCCGAAUUUAGCAACAAAAGUCUUGCCUUCGGAUUUGUGAUAGAAGGUGUAUCCAAUAGUUUCCUUUGGAUAUCCUAUGAAGAUUUACUUCUCCGAUUUGGGUUCGAGCUUAUCAUCUUGAAACUUUUUUCACAUAAGCAUCGCAGUCCCAAACUUUAAGAAACGAGAACUUAGGUUUCUUGCCAAAACAUAGUUCAUAUGGUGUCGUCUCAACGGAUUUAGAUGGUGCCCUAUUUAACGUGAAUGCAACUGUCUCUAAUGCAUAACCCCAAAACGAUAGUGGUAGAUCAGUAAGAGACAUCAUAGAUUGCACUAUAUCCAAUAAAGUACGGUUAUGACGUUCGGACACACCAUUAUGCUGUGGUGUUCCAUGUGGCAUGAGUUUGUGAAACUAUUCCACAUUGUUUUAAUUGAAGACCAAACUCGUAACUCAAAUAUUUGUCUCCGAGAUCAGAUCGUAGAAACUUUAUUUUCUUGUCACGAUGAUUUUCCACUUCACUCUGAAAUUCUUUGAACUUUUCAAAUGUUUCAGACUUAUGUUUCAUCAAGUAGAUAUACCCAUAUCUGCUAAAAUCUCUAUGAAGUUCAGAAAAUAAUGAUACUUGCCGUGAGCCUUAACAAUCAUCGGAUCGUAUACAUCAAUAUGUAUUAUUUCCAAUAAGUCAGUUGCUCGCUCCGGAGAACGGAGUCUUAGUCAUCUUGCCCAUGAGGCAUGGUUCGCAAGCAUCAAGUGAUUCAUAAUCAAGUGAUUCCAAAAUCCCAUCAGCAUGGAGUUUCUUCAUGCGCUUUACAUCAAUAUGACCUAAACGGCAGUGCUACAAACAAGUUGCACUAUCAUUAUUAACUUUGCAUCUUUUGGUUUCAAUAUUAUGAUUAUGUGUAUCACUAUGAUCGAGAUCCAAUGAACUAUUUCAUUGGGUGUGUAACCAUAUAAGGUUUUAUUCAUGUAAACAGAAUAACAAUUUAUUCUCUUACUUAAAUGAAUAAUCGUAUUACAAUAAACAUGAUCAAAUCAUAUUCAUGCUUAACGCAAACACCAAAUAACACUUAUUCAGGUUCAACACUAAUCCUGAAAGUAUAGGGAGUGUGCGAUGAUGAUCAUAUCAAUCUUGGAACCACUUUCAACACACAUCGUCACUUUACCCUUAACUAGUCUCUGUUUAUUCUGCAACUCCCGUUUCGAGUUACUAAUCUUAGCAACUGAACUAGUAUCAAAUACUGAGGGGUUGCUAUAAACACUAGUAAAGUACACAUCAAUAGUAUGUAUAUCAAAUAUACUUAUGUUCACUUUGCCAUCCUUCUUAUCUGCCAAUUACUUGGGGUAGUUCCGCUUCCAGUGACCAGUCCCUUUGUAGUAGAAACACUUAGUCUUAGGCUUAGGACCAGACUUGGGCUUCUUCACUUGAGCAGCAACUUGCUUGCCGUUCUUCUUGAAGUUCCCCUUCUUCCCUUUGCCCUUUUCUUGAAACUAGUGAUCUUGUCAACCAUCAACAAUUGAUGCUCUUUCUUGAUUUCUAUCUUCAUCGAUUUCAUCAUCAUGAAAAGCUCGGGAUUCGUUUUCGUCAUCCCUUGCAUACUAUAGUUCAUCACGAAGUUCUACUAACUUGGUGAUGGUGACUAGAGAAUUCUGUCAAUCACUAUCUUAUCUGGAAGAUUAACUCCCACUUGAUUCAAGAGAUUGUUGUACUCAGACAAUCUGGGCACAUGCUCACUAGUUGAGCGAUUCUCCUCCAUCUUUUAGCUAUAGAACUUGUUGGAGACUUCAUAUCUCUCAACUCGGGUAUUUGCUUGAAAUAUUAUCUUCAACUCCUGGAACAUCUCAUAUGGUCCAUGACAUUCAAAACGUCUUUGAAGUCCCGAUUCUAAGCCGUUUAAGCAUGGUGCACUAAACUAUCAAGUAGUCAUCAUAUUUAGCUAGCCAAACGUUCAGAAUGUCAGCAUCUGCUCCUGCAAUAGGUAUAUCACCUAGCGGUGCAUCAAGGACAUAAUUCCUCUGUGCAGCAAUGAGGAUAAACCUCAGAUCACGGAUCCAAUCCGCAUCAUUGCUACUAACAUCUUUCAACACAAUUUUUCUCUAGGAUCAUAUCAAAAUAAACAUAUGAAAGUAAUAACGCGAGCUAUUGAUCUACAACAUAAUUUGCAAAAUACCACCAGGACUAAGUUCAUGAUAAAUUUAAGUUCAAUUAAUCAUAUUACUUAAGAACUCCCACUUAGAUAGACAUCCCUCUAAUCCUCUAAGUGAUAACGUCAUCCAAAUCAACUAAACCAUGUCCGAUCAUCACGUGAGAUGGAGUAGUUUCAUUGCUGAACAUCACUAUGUUGAUCAUAUCUACUAUAUGAUUCACGCUCAACCUUUCGGUCUCCGUGUUCCGAGGCCAUAUCUGUAUAUGCUUGGCUCGUCAAGUAUAACCUGAGUAUUCCGUGUGUGCAACUGUUUUGCACCCGUUGUAUUUGAACAUAGAACCUAUCACACCCGAUCAUCACGUGGUGUCUCAGCACGAAGAACUUUCGCAACGGUGCAUACUCAGGGAGAACACUUCUUGAUAAUUAGUGAGAGAUCAUCUUAUAAUGCUACCGUCAAUCAAAGCAAGAUAAGAUGCAUAAAAGGAUAAACAUCACAUGCAAUCAAUAUAAGUGAUAUGAUAUGGCCAUCAUCAUCUUGUGCUUGUGAUCUCCAUCUCCGAAGCACCGUCGUGAUCACCAUCAUCACCGGCGUGACACCUUGAUCUCCAUCGUAGCAUCGUUGUCGUCUCGCCAAGCUUGUGCUUCCACGACUAUCACUACCGCUUAGUAAUAAAGUAAAGCAUUACAUCGCGAUUUCAUUGCAUACAAUAAAACGACAACCAUAAGGCUCCUGCCAGUUGCCGAUAACUCGGUUACAAAACAUGAUCAUCUCAUACAAUAAAAUUCAGCAUCAUGUCUUGACCAUAUCACAUCACAACAUGCCCUGCAAAAACAAGUUAGACGUCCUCUACUUUGUUGUUGCAAGUUUUACGUGGCUGCUACGGGCUUAAGCAAGAACCAAUCUCACCUACGCAUCAAAACCACAACGAUAGUUUGUCAAAUAGACUCCGUUUUAACCUUCGCAAGGACCGGGCGUAGCCAUACUUGGUUCAACUAAAGUUGGAGAGACUGUCCCCCGCAAGCCACCUAUGUGCAAAGCACAUCGGGGGAACCAGUCUCGCGUAAGCGUACGCGUAAUGUUGGUCAGGUUCAUCUCGUCCAACAAUGCCGCCGAACCAAAGUAUGACAUGCUGGUAGGCAGUAUGACUUAUAUCGCCCACAACUCACUUGUGUUCUACUCGUGCAUAUAACAUCAACAUAAAUAACCUAGGCUCGGAUGCCACUGUUGGGUUUCGUAGUAAUUUCAAAAAAAUUCCUACGCACACGCAAGAUCAUGUGAUGCAUAGAAACGAAAGGAGAGAGUAUUGUCUACGUACCCACGCAGACCGACUGCGGAAGCAUUGACACAACAUAGAGGAAGUAGUCGUACGUCUUCACGAUCCAAACGAUCAAGCACCGAAACUACGGCACCUCCGAGUUCGAGCACACGUUCAGCUCGAUGACGAUCCCCGGACUCCGAUCCAGAAAAGUGUCGGGGAAGAGUUCCGUUAGCACGACGGCGUGGUGACGAUCUUGAUGUACUACAGCAGCAGGGCUUCGCCUAAACUCCGCUACAGUAUUAUCGAGGACUAUGGUGGCUGGGGGCACCGCACAUGGCUAAGGAAUAGAUCAUGUGGAUCAACUUGUGUGUUUCUGGGGUGCCUCUGCCUCAGUAUAUAAAGGGUUAGAGGGGGGAGGCUGGCCGGCCACAGGAGGCGCGCCAGGAGAGUCCUACUCCCUCUGGGAGUAGGAUUCCCCCCCAAUCCUAGUUGGAAUAGGACUCCUUGAGGGGGGAAAGAGAGAGAGGGGGCCGGCCACCUCUCCUAAUAGGACUAGGGGAAGGGGGAGGCGCACAGCCACCUUGGGCUGCCCCUUUCUCCUUUCCACUAAAGCCCACUAAGGCCCAUAUAGCUCCCGGGGGGUUCCGGUAACCUCCCGGUACUCCGGUAAAAUCCCGAUUUCACCCGGAACACUUCCGAUGUCCAAACAUAGGCUUCCAAUGUAUCAAUCUUUACAUCUCGACCAUUUCGAGACUCCUCGUCAUGUCCGUGAUCACAUCCGGGACUCCGAACAACCUUCGGUACAUCAAAAUGCAUAAACUCAUAAUAUAACUGUCAUCGUAACCUUAAGCGUGCGGACCCUACGGGUUCGAGAACAAUGUAGACAUGACCAAGACACGUCUCCGGUCAAUAACCAAUAGCGGGACCUGGAUGCCCAUAUUGGCUCCUACAUAUUCUACGAAGAUCUUUAUCGGUCAGACCGCAUAAGAACAUACAUUGUUCCCUUUGUCAUCGGUAUGUUAAUUGCCCGAGAUUCGAUCGCCGGUAUUCCAAUACCUAGUUCAAUCUCGUUGCCGGCAAGUCUCUUUACUUGUUCUGUAAUACAUCAUCCCGCAACUAACUCAUUAGUUGCAAUGCUUGCAAGGCUUAUGUGAUGUGCAUUACCGAGAGGGCCCAGAGAUACCUCUCCAACAAUCGGAGUGACAAAACCUAAUCUCGAAAUACGCCAACCCAACAUGUACCUUUGGAGACACCUGUAGUACUCCUUUAUAAUCACCCAGUAACGUUGUGACGUUUGGUAGUACCCAAAGUGUUCCUCCGGUAAAUGGGAGUUGCAUAAUCUCAUAGUUAUAGGAACAUGUAUAAGUCAUGAAGAAAGCAAUAACAACAUAUUAAACGAUCGGGUGGUAAGCUAAUGGAGUGGGUCAUGUCAAUCAGAUUAUUCUCUUAAUGAUGUGAUCCCGUUAAUCAAAUAACAACUCAUUGUUCAUGGUUAGGAAACAUAACCAUCUUUGAUUAACGAGCUAGUCAAGUAGAGGCAUAGUAGUGACACUUUGUUUGUCUAUGUAUUCACACAUGUAUUAUGUUUCUGGUUAAUACAAUUCUAGCAUGAAUAAUAAACAUUUAUCAUGAUAUAAGGAAAUAAAUAAUAACUUUAUUAUUGCCUCUAGGGCAUAUUUCCUUCACAACCGUAUCAUCAUAUUCUACCAGGCCCUUUGUUUGUUUCUAUGAGCUUGCCUCUGUGGCUAGCACAUAUCAUAUGUGAUCCAUGCUGUCUCUUUUCCGCCCACUUAAGCUUGGAUCAAAGUGGCAUAUUACUUUUGUGAUAACUAAGAGAACUGCGAGGCUUU
rnacentral:lncRNA from 1 species